AAUCUUCUCUGAAACACCUUUGCUUUGAACCUCCACUAUAUUCAAAAGGCUCUAGUCAAAGUUACACACCCUUUCCAGCUUCUCUUUAUGCCUAUAGAGACCGAUUAACACCAUUUCUACGUUAAUAACACAAGAAAUCCUCUUGAGAAUGCGUCUGUUAAUCUCUGUGGCAUUUAAAAACAGUCGUAGGGUGAGCGAGUGAAGCAGGUUCUCUCUCUGCUUCACUCCGCGCUUUGUUUUCCAUUUCAUUUGAGUCACUCUAGCUUCCCUCCCCGAGCUGCGAGGAGGCAAACAUUCUUUGUUUUCGUCAUGGUUGCUAGUGGCGGAAAGAUAGACCCAGGAGAGAUGCAGGUAACAGUGUAGGGACUGUCAUACACACAUAUAAGACUGGUUAGGGUGACACACAGCAAGGUGCGGCGGCUGUACAGGGUGGUGGUGGUGGCUGCCAAGGGUGCAGACUUUGCCCUUAUGUACUACCUCCACAACCAUCGAUCCGCCUCCACCACGCGCUGCACGGGGGAACCACACUGCCUCUCCACUAUCCUCACCUCAACUCUCCAUGUGGUGCCAAAGCAUCGACUUAUCUUCCUGCCCUUAGAGGGAUAGAAGCUGGAAAUUCACGAUGUAAGGUCACUAAAGAGAACCUUAAGUGUGACCCCACUUCAAGUGUGACCCCUACACAGACCGCCACUGGGACCUGGGACCUGAGACCCGAGAGGCAGCAGCACGUCUCAGCCCUGGUCAGGUCAGCCACACUCGCCCUUGACCCUGUCUUGACCAGACUUGGCCUCAGGAACCAGCACAAGGUGCAGUGAAGGUGUGUGGCAGAGUGCUUCUCCCACCCACCCACCCACCCUGCUGGCCAGUCACAGCUUGGUUCUUGAAGGAGGAAGGUAUCAGCUCAGGCAAGUCCUACAUAAACACAAAGUUCCUGCAAGGGGACUGAAGGAGGUGGGCAAAGCUCUGGGGAUGGAGGUGAGGCAGCCGUCCAUGUGGUGGCCUUGCUGUGCUGUUACCCCUACUCCCAGCUGACUCUGUUCCCUAUGUGACUUGUCAUGCCCUAUCUGCAUGAGGAUACCAAUCAGGCUGGGAAUUUCAUCAUAGAGCCCAUUACCCAGUGUGUGGCGCCAGGAACCUACAAGAAUGUAGAGGAUAACAAGGUGGUGUCCUGACUCCUCCUGCAGAUGAAUACCAGGUGCUCUCACUGCUGUGCAAACCAGUGCUGGUGGUGGGGGCUGUUAUGAAUGGACACUCAAAAGAACUUUCCACCGCUCAGCCUACCCGGCUGCCAUGGUGGGGAUGAUGGCCAGGGAGGGCUGACCUUGUCACGCUAAUCCACCCUCAACACCACCAACACUGCGUCUAAUUGAGUUGAGUUGGGUACAGUUUGUCAUAGCAUGUUCCUUUCUUAUACAAAUCAAUAAGGUGUAUGGCUACAAGAUAAAUGUGAGAAAUCAA